GAUGAACGCUGGCGGCGUGCCUAAUACAUGCAAGUCGAGCGAACAGACGCGGAGCUUGCUCCUUUGACGUUAGCGGCGGACGGGUGAGUAACACGUGGAUCACCUACCUAUAAGACUGGGAUAACUUCGGGAAACCGGAGCUAAUACCGGAUAAUAUAUUGAACCGCAUGGUUCAAUAGUGAAAGACGGUUUUGCUGUCACUUAUAGAUGGAUCCGCGCCGCAUUAGCUAGUUGGUAAGGUAACGGCUUACCAAGGCAACGAUGCGUGGCCGACCUGAGAGGGUGGUCGGCCACACGGGAACGGAGACAGGGUCCAGGCUCCUACGGGAGGCAGCAGUAGGGAAUCUUCCGCAAUGGGCGAAAGCUUGACGGAGCAACGCCGCGUGAGUGAUGAAGGUCUUCGGAUCGUAAAACUCUGUUAUUAGGGAAGAACAAAUGUGUAAGUAACUAUGCACGUCUUGACGGUACCUAAUCAGAAAGCCACGGCUAACUACGUG
rnacentral:rRNA from 1 species